GGGGGCGACCUGGUUUCGACGGGGCUCACGGAGAGUAUGGUUGCGUGUCGCGGGUGCAGCUGGCCGCGUUAGUAAGCUGCACAAGCCAUAACUGGCAACAGAAACAAUAGUAGCUUCGGCUACGCAAUGGCUGCUUAAACCAGCCAAUAGCUCGCCAGAAACCCAGCCUAUGGUUCGCUGGUUUGAGCUUCCUAAAGUAGGCUAGCUAAUAACUUCUUGUGUUGGGUAAUUAGCGAAAUUUAAGACACCUAAGCCUGAGAAAUUAGUUCGUUAAUACACUAUUCUCAGGUCGAAAACUGAGUAAUAACUACACACGUAGAAGCCUACUCAAAGGUGUUCCGGACGCGGGUUCGACUCCCGCCGCCUCCACCA
rnacentral:tmRNA from 1 species